rnacentral:rRNA from 1 species
AACGAACGCUGGCGGCAGGCCUAACAUAUGCAAGUCGAGCGGACCCUUCGGGGUUAGCGGCGGACGGGUGAGUAACGCGUGGGAAUAUGCCCUUCUCUACGGAAUAGUCCUGGGAAACUGGGGGUAAUACCGUAUACGCCCUUUGGGGGAAAGAUUUAUCGGGGAAGGAUUAGCCCGCGUUGGAUUAGGUAGUUGGUGGGGUAAUGGCCUACCAAGCCGACGAUCCAUAGCUGGUUUGAGAGGAUGAUCAGCCACACUGGGACUGAGACACGGCCCAGACUCCUACGGGAGGCAGCAGUGGGGAAUCUUAGACAAUGGGGGCAACCCUGAUCUAGCCAUGCCGCGUGAGUGAUGAAGGCCUUAGGGUUGUAAAGCUCUUUCAGCUGGGAAGAUAAUGACGGUACCAGCAGAAGAAGCCCCGGCUAACUCCGUG